UUGAACCACAGCUCCACUCCAAUAUAUGACUCUCAUAGAUGUUUCUGUCCAGGAUGGCAUUGAACUGUGAUCCUCAGAUCUCAGCAUCCUGAGUAGCUAGGGUUACA